GAUGAACGCUAGCUACAGGCUUAACACAUGCAAGUCGAGGGACCGGCGCACGGGUGAGUAACACGUAUCCAACCUGCCCUUUACUCGGGGAUAGCCUUUCGAAAGAACGAUUAAUACCCGAUAUAAAGGAUGGGGAUGCGUUCCAUUAGGUUGUUGGUGAGGUAACGGCUCACCAAGCCUUCGAUGGAUAGGGGUUCUGAGAGGAAGGACCACAACAUUGGAACUGAGACACGGUCCAAACUCCUGCGGGCGGCAGGAGUGAGGAAAAUUGGUCAAUGGGCGCUAGCCUGAACCAGCCAAGUAGCGUGAAAGAUGAAGGCUUAUGGGUCUUAAACUUCUUGUAUAUAAGAAUAUGAAUUAUAUGAAUAAGGAUCGGCUAACUCCGUGCAAGAAGCCGCGGUAAAG
rnacentral:rRNA from 1 species